AGUCGAACGAGAAUGUGUAGCAAUACACAUGUACAGUGGCGAACGGGUGAGGACUACAUGGGUAACCUACCCUCGAGUGGGGAAUAACUAGCCGAAAGGUUAGCUAAUACCGCGUACGCCUCCCGGACUGCGGUUCGGGGGGGAAAGCGAUACCGUGGGUAUCGCGCUCUUGGAUGGGCUCAUGCCCUAUCAGCUUGUUGGUGAGGUAACGGCUCACCAAGGCAUCGACGGGUAGCUGAUCUGAGAGGAUGAUCAGCCACACUGGCACUGCGACACGGGCCAGACUCCUACGGGAGGCAGCAGUAAGGAAUAUUGCGCAAUGGGCGAAAGCCUGACGCAGCGACGCCGCGUGGGGGAUGAAGGUCUUCGGAUUGUAAACCCCUUUCGGGAGGGAAGAUGGGAUAGGGUAACCUAUUCGGACGGUACCUCCAGAAGCAGCCACGGCUAACUUCGUGCCAGCAGCCGCGGUAAUACGAAGGUGGCAAGCGUUGUUCGGAUUUACUGGGCGUACAGGGAGCGUAGGCGGUUGGAUAAGCCCUCCGUGAAAUCUCCAGGCUUAACCUGGAAAGUGCAGAGGGGACUGUUCAGCUAGAGGAUGGGAGAGGAGCGCGGAAUUCCCGGUGUAGCGGUGAAAUGCGUAGAGAUCGGGAGGAAGGCCGGUGGCGAAGGCGGCGCUCUGGAACAUUUCUGACGCUGAGGCUCGAAAGCGUGGGGAGCAAACAGGAUUAGAUACCCUGGUAGUCCACGCCUUUAACGAUGGAUACUAAGUGUC
rnacentral:rRNA from 1 species